UACGUAGGGCGCAAGCGUUGUCCGGAAUUAUUGGGCGUAAAGAGCUCGUAGGCGGUUUGUCGCGUCUGGUGUGAAAUCUCAAGGCUCAACCUUGAGCUUGCAUUGGGUACGGGCAGACUAGAGUGCGGUAGGGGUGACUGGAAUUCCUGGUGUAGCGGUGGAAUGCGCAGAUAUCAGGAGGAACACCGAUGGCGAAGGCAGGUCACUGGGCCGCAACUGACGCUGAGGAGCGAAAGCGUGGGGAGCGAACAGG
rnacentral:rRNA from 1 species